rnacentral:rRNA from 1 species
CCUGACUGCUAUCGGAUUGAUACUAAGCCAUGCGAGUCAUUGUAGCAAUACAAGGCAUACGGCUCAGUAACGCGUAGUCAACCUAACCUAUGGACGGAAAUAACCUCGGGAAACUGAGAAUAAUAUCCGAUAGAACACUAUACCUGGAAUGGUUUGUGUUCCAAAUGAUUUAUCGCCGUAGGAUGGGACUGCGGCCUAUCAGUUUGUUGGUGAGGUAAUGGCCCACCAAGACUAUUACAGGUACGGGCUCUGAGAGGAGUAGCCCGGAGAUGGGUACUGAGACACGGACCCAGGCCCUAUGGGGCGCAGCAGGCGAGAAAACUUUGCAAUGUGCGAAAGCACGACAAGGUUAAUCCGAGUGAUUUGUGCUAAACGAAUCUUUUGUUAGUCUUAGAACCACUAACGAAUAAGGGGUGGGCAAGUUCUGGUGUCAGCCGCCGCGGUAAAACCAGCACCUCAAGUGGUCAGGAUGAUUAUUGGGCCUAAAGCAUCCGUAGCCGGCUCUGUAAGUUUUCGGUUAAAUCUGUACGCUCAACGUACAGGCUGCCGGGAAUACUGCAGAGCUAGGGAGUGGGAGAGGUAGACGGUACUCGGAAGGAAGGGGUAAAAUCCUUUGAUCUUUUGAUGACCACCUGUGGCGAAGGCGGUCUACCAGAACACGUCCGACGGUGAGGGAUGAAAGCUGGGGGAGCAAACCGGAUUAGAUACCCGGGUAGUCCCAGCUGUAAACUAUGCAAACUCAGUGAUGCAUUGACUUGUGGUCAGUGCAGUGCUGCAGGGAAGCCGUUAAGUUUGCCGCCUGGGAAGUACGUACGCAAGUAUGAAACUUAAAGG